rnacentral:rRNA from 1 species
AACCGGGAUUAAUACCCUAUGACACUUAAGAGUCGCAUGAUACUUAGGUUAAAGCGCUUUAGCGGUGGGAGAUGGCCUCACGUCCCAUUAGCUAGUUGGUGAGGUAACGGCUCACCAAGGCGACGAUGGGUAGCCGGCCUGAGAGGGUGACCGGCCACACUGGGACUGAGACACGGCCCAGACUCCUACGGGAGGCAGCAGUGGGGAAUAUUGCACAAUGGGCGAAAGCCUGAUGCAGCGACGCCGCGUGAGCGAAGAAGGCCUUCGGGUCGUAAAGCUCUGUCCUAUGGGAAGAUAAUGACGGUACCAUAGGAGGAAGCCCCGGCUAACUACGUGCC